AUGCUGUUGCGGAAGUGGUUUCCCCAUGGUGAUGAUUUUGUUGGAGACCCGGUUGUUCAAGUAGUGGUUCCCACAAAAUUUCAGAAAACUGUGUUGGAGGUUGCACAUGACCAUUCUGGUCAUUCAGGAGUAAGAAAGACGUAUGACAGUAUUUUAAGGGAUUUCUGGAAGAACCCCUGUUUUGAGGGGAGGGGUGUGACGAUCCCGUGUGAGUCCCUAAAGCCCCCUCCUUGUAUUUGGAAGAUGGUUGAUUUCAUAAGUGGUUUCAUUGCACACACCUGGCUUUAAAAGGAGCCAUUUCACUGCUUGUGGGGAGGAAGGGCUAUUUCUGUUGGUUUACUUUAUUUCUUUUUGUUUGUUUUAUUUCUUUCUUUGUUCCAUUUUUGGCCACAGGGCCACAGUACAUUACACCUCACGCAAACACCUGAAUCUACAUCACUGACUUUACUAACAGUAACAUUAGUAUUCGUUCGAGAAUGUACUGGUUUAGACUUAAAAUAUGUGAUUUUUUUAAUAAAUUUGCUUAUACAUUUUGGGAGAUGUGAGCUCCAGGGCGUCAGCUUUCAGUGCUCACAAACCCGCUGAGAGCAGCCUCACCUCGGGCAGAAGUUCUGGAAUUUGCUGCUGGCUGUGAUGUAUCUAUUAGAGAUGCGAAGUAAUGAAGUACUACUUACUGUACUUAAAAGUAGAUUUUUUCUGGUAUCAGUACUUUACUUAUCUAUUUAUUAACUUUUUACUUGUAGUUCUUACAUUUUUACACAAAUAUCUGUACUUUCUACUACUUUUUACAUUUUCUACUUUACAUUUUCAAACCAGGCUUGUUACUUUAGUUUUAAUCUGUUUCACCAUUUGAUAAUAAAUCUCUAAUAAAUCAAGAAUCGGUUAGUUUUGACGCUUUACACUCCAGUCCCCCGGGUGGCGCUAAAAACAUAUGUUUGCUUGCCAACCACAAUUUAACCUCAGAGGAAGAAGAUUAAUGUUGUUUUGUCAUGAUACUGGUCUAAUACAAACUGUUAGAAAUUGGAAUGUACUUUUACUAAAUAGAAAGAUACAAAAAUGAAUCAGGUCAGUAAAUCAUCCUCAUAAUCAUGAUAAUUUUUCUAGUAAGCAGGAAUAUCUGGAUGAGCAUCAUCUGAAUUGAGAAUAUCAAAGACAAUUUUUAAUAUAACUCCAAUUGGAUUCGUCUGAAAGAAGAUAGUCAUAUACACCUAGGAUGCUUUGAGGGUGAGUAAUUCAUGGGCUAAUUUUAAUUUUUGGGUGAACUUACCCUUUAAAAAGGAAAGUGAGGAGGACACGAGUGAACCAGAACCCUGCAGAAUAAAACAGGAGGAACACGGAGGUUGCGGUUUAUUCUUCUUUCAUCUUUAAUGACUGUUUGAGGUACAUUUAAGAAACUUUAAGGGUGUCCCCCUUGAAAGGGUGAUCUUUUAAAGGAACACGCCACUAUUUUUGAAAAUAGGCUCAUUUUCCAAUUCCCCUAGUACACAAUGUAACUACAGAAGAGUCAACUUUUAAGUAGGAAAAAUAUCCAAACUCUUUGGUCAUUUUUGAGCAAGAUGCUAAUGGUCUAAUCAGAUUCAAUAAUCUAUGCUAAACUAAUCUAAAAGUGCUACCGCCAGACCUGGAGAUCGGCUAAAUGGAUUCGAAAAUGGUAAAACUCAACUGUUUAACUCUAGGGGAGUUGUUGAAAUUUUUUAAUGUAAAAAUAAAACCUUAACUGUCAUUAACCAAAUCCAUGUUGCACUUGUCUUAAAAUGCAGCCGAACCGAGCAUUUAUUUAUUAGUUUUUGUUUUUUUACUCAUUGCUUUUCAGAAUUGUAAAACUGUGUUGAACUCAGAGCACAUCAUUCACUCAAGUUCUAACAAAUAAAAGUGAAUCAAGUCAUAUAUAUAUCGUUAUAUUACUGUUUGUACCUCCAAAUAAACAUACAGUAUAAACACACACACACUGCCUGGCCAAAAUAAAGUCACUGCUUGGUUUAGCAAAUGUUAUUCAAAACUGUAAAUGGUUGAUUUUUAUUUGCAUACCCUUAAUAAAUACAGAAAAUUAAGCUUUUGAAAAAUAAAGAAAACAAUAGGAUCCGACUUUCUGCUGUCUCAGUUCCCCCAGAUGCUCUGAUUAAAAAAAAAAACCGGCACCAAAAAAAAAAAAAACAUCUGUUUGGUUUUAAUUAUUACCUUGGACUGAUAUUGUUACUCUCUGAUCCUCUGCCGCCUGCCCUGACCUCUGCCUGGUAAACCUGUUCAUUAUUUUGGAUUUGUCUCUGAUACCCCUGUUGUUGUUCUCUGAUCUCCGCCUGUUUGACUCUGCUCUUAAUAAAGCUGAAAAUGGAUCUCCGUGCCUCAGAACCUUCAUUACAGAUAUGCAUCAUUCUUGUCUUUUUAAAGAUUUUAUUUCAAUUUAAAAAUCAAGAAUAUCUUAAAGGGGUCAUAUGAUGCUGCUAAAAAGAACAUUAUUUUGUGUAUUUCGUGUAAUAAAAUGUGUUUAUGCGCUUUAAGGUUCAAAAAACACAUUAUUUUCCACAUAAUGUACAUUAUUGUUUCUCCUCUAUGCCCCGACUUCUGUGGCAGAGUCUUAACUUUGAUAAAGAAUAUCUCUUUGGAUUUGAGACUUUAGUCUUUGCAACUUUACAGAUCUUUAUGCACCAAGAGCUUGUAACACUCCAAAGAGAAAUAUACUAUCAUUGAAAUCGCAUCCUAUGACCCCUUUAAGACUUUUACCCAUCUUGCUAUCCACUGUGCCCUUGCAGAACAGUUUCCUCCAUUGUCCCUGGCACCGAAUAGCCACUUUGACACUGCCCUUUCUUCCCUUUUUUCUGGUAAUUUGGUUAGUAAGGGAAUUUUUUUUCAAGCUUCCUGUAAAACACAAAGAGCAUUAAAGUGAGAUUAAAUUCUGUAUUUACGCCCUUGCAAGAAAUAAGCCGUUAUCUCCAUUUUUACAUUUUUCAGGAUAUACUGUACAAUAAUGGUAUUGGAUAUAAUAUUCUAUCAUACACAAAUGGUUUCUGCGUAUUUGUACAAAAGUGAAAAGAACAACAUUUUUGCUGCAAGGGUUUAUUAACUAAACGAACACAGAAACAAGGGCACAGGGCAACAUUUCAAUGCAUAGUUCACCCAAAAAUUUU
ensembl:lncRNA